GACGAACGCUGGCGGCGUGCUUAACACAUGCAAGUCGAGCGAUGAAGUUCCUUCGGGAGCGGAUUAGCGGCGGACGGGUGAGUAACACGUGGGUAACCUGCCUCAUAGAGGGGAAUAGCCUUCCGAAAGGAAGAUUAAUACCGCAUAAGAUUGUAGUACCGCAUGGUAUAGCAAUUAAAGGAGCAAUCCGCUAUGAGAUGGACCCGCGUCGCAUUAGCUAGUUGGUGAGGUAACGGCUCACCAAGGCGACGAUGCGUAGCCGACCUGAGAGGGUGAUCGGCCACAUUGGGACUGAGACACGGCCCAGACUCCUACGGGAGGCAGCAGUGGGGAAUAUUGCACAAUGGGGGAAACCCUGAUGCAGCAACGCCGCGUGAGUGAUGACGGUCUUCGGAUUGUAAAACUCUGUCUUCAGGGACGAUAAUGACGGUACCUGAGGAGGAGGCCACGGCUAACUACGUGCCAGCCGCCGCCGUAAUAC
rnacentral:rRNA from 1 species